AGUCACGAGUUUGAUCCGUGGCUCAGGAUGAACGCUAGCGGCAGGCCUAACACAUGCUAAGUCGAGGGGUAGAGUUCUUCGGGACUUGAGACCGGCGCACGGGUGCGUAACGCGUAUGCAAUCUACCUUAUACAGGGGAAUAGCCCAGAGAAAUUUGGAUUAAUGCCCCAUAGUGUUAUCGAAUCGCAUGGUUUGAUAACUAAAGUUCCAACGGUAUAAGAUGAGCAUGCGUCCCAUUAGUUAGUUGGUAAGGUAACGGCUUACCAAGACAAUGAUGGGUAGGGGUCCUGAGAGGGAGAUCCCCCACACUGGUACUGAGACACGGACCAGACUCCUACGGGAGGCAGCAGUGAGGAAUAUUGGUCAAUGGGCGCAAGCCUGAACCAGCCAUGCCGCGUGCAGGAAGACGGUCCUAUGGAUUGUAAACUGCUUUUAUACAGGAAGAAACCCUCCCACGUGUGGGAGCUUGACGGUACUGUAGGAAUAAGGAUCGGCUAACUCCGUG
rnacentral:rRNA from 1 species